rnacentral:rRNA from 1 species
UACGAGGGGUGCAAGCGUUGCUCGGAAUUAUUGGGUGUAAAGGGUAGGUAGGUGGUCUCAUUUGUCAGGGGUGAAAGCCUUGGGCUUAACUCAAGAAGUGCCCCUGAAACGGUGAGACUAGAGUCCUGGAGAGGGUCGUGGAAUUCCCGGUGUAGCGGUGAAAUGCGUAGAGAUCGGGAGGAACACCAGAGGCGAAGGCGGCGACCUGGACAGGCACUGACACUCAACUACGAAAGCGUGGGGAGCAAACAGG